CAAAUCAAGAAUAUACAUAUUUGAAAAAGAGAGAGUAGUUGGCCGUAUUAACCGACUCGGAUGUGUCAAUAUUAUUACUUCAGAUAUAUAAUAUGGAGAAUUAAUUAAAGAGUUCAUUGCUAGACUCCGUACUAUUUUCAGAUAAUAACUACAUAAGUCAUUAGCAGACAAGGGGAAGCUUCAAUUACUCUCGAGCGCACUACUCCACCUUCUACAGUGCGCUGAAAGGAAAAAAAGUGGCUCGCCGGAAGCACGGGGCACGAUGCCUGCCGCCGUCGCCACCACAUGGCCUGCCGCUGCCCGCUGCCACAUGGCCCGCCGCACGCCGCUGCCGCCGCCGCCUGCCGCCGCCUCCACCGCAUGGCCGCGCCGCCGCCACCACAUGGCGCGCCGCCCAGAGACGCCGCCACCGCAUGGCGUGCCGGCCUGCGCCGCCGCCCCCACAUGGCCGCUGCCAUGGAUCGAAGCUGCACGUGAUUUUGCCAUGGAACGGAGCCGCCGCCGCCGCCGCGUGCUGGACCGCUGCCGUCGCCGCCUCCACCGCCGCGCGCGCAGCCUUGUAUUCCG
rnacentral:lncRNA from 1 species